UCUGUUUCCCACCAGAGAAGGGAAAAUCCCAGAAAGUGGUGCCCUUCAAUCAGAAGUAAAAAUGGCUGCAUCUCUCAGGGCAACCAGUGCUUGGGCCUGGUAUUCCUGAGUCCACAGCAGGGAGGCCAUUAGCCCCAGUCCCAAGAAUCCCUGCAACCAGCAUCCCUGGCAUUUAGCCUUCCAUCCCUGGCACUUAACCCC
rnacentral:lncRNA from 1 species